CUGCCAUCCACAUGCCUAGACACUACUGAACUCUAGCCUUGGACUUGAUGGAGCUGGCCUGAAGGUAGAUCGCAUGAUUACUAUCAUCACCAAACCCAGAUAACUGCAGUGGUUGGACUGGACCUGGAGACUUUGGCUGUAUACUGGCAGGACAGUCCUGGUAACCCACCAAAAAUAUUGAGGAAGUUAACCCAUCACAGGAGUUUACUUUGAUGAUCUCUGGAAGAUGGAGGAUGGUAUCGAGAUCGGCUGGCAUUUAUGCACUAAGUCAGUGAGAAUGUAUUUGGAGACUGAAAAGUCCUGGCAGUCUUCAAAUGGCAACCUGUAUCAAGUGGUCUGAUCUGCAUGUCAGGAAAUACCUACAUAGUCAGCAAGUUCCCUAGUGAAAUCUGCAACUGAGUUUCCAAUUUAAAACAGAGGGUUUUAAAGGUGAGCAG
rnacentral:lncRNA from 12 species